GGUGAGCUACCCCGAGACAGCCUAUAUUAAUUUAGGGCUAACCCGUCUCUGUGGCAAAAGAGUGGGAAGAGCUCCGGGUAGAAGUGAAAGACCUACCGAACCUGGUGAUAGCUGGUUGACUGAGAAAUGGAUAGAAGUUCAGCCUCGCACACCCCAAACCAAAAAAUAUUAUCACCAAGAUAUUAAGGGAAACGUACGAGAGUUAGUUAAAAGGGGUACAGCCCUUUUAACAAAGGAUACAACCUUUACAGGAGGAUAAAGAUCAUAAUGUAUAAGAUAUACUGUUCUAGUGGGCCUGAAAGCAGCCACCUAAACAGAAAGCGUUAAAGCUCGGACAGAAGGAAGUUUAUUAUACUGAUAAAAAAUCUUAUUCCCCUAGCUAUAUCAGACCAACCCAUGCCUCCAUGGAAGAGAUUAUGCUAAAAUGAGUAAUAAGAAGACCCGCUCUUCUCCCAGCACAAGUGUAAACCAGAUCGGACUGACCACUGGAAUUUAACGAACCCAACCCCAGAGGGUAGUGUGAUUAACAAAAAACUCAAGAAGGCCUCACAUAAUUAAUCGUUAACCCCACACUGGAGUGCUAUUUUAAGGGAAAGACUAAAAGAAGGGGAAGGAACUCGGCAAACACAAGCCUCGCCUGUUUACCAAAAACAUCGCCUCCUGCAACUAAACUGAGUAUAGGAGGUCCAGCCUGCCCAGUGACUACGGGUUCAACGGCCGCGGUAUCUUGACCGUGCAAAGGUAGCGCAAUCACUUGUCUCUUAAAUAGAGACCUGUAUGAAUGGCUAGACGAGGGCUUAACUGUCUCCCCCUUCCAGUCAGUGAAAUUGAUCUAUCCGUGCAGAAGCGGGUAUAAAUAUACAAGACGAGAAGACCCUUUGGAGCUUAAGGUACAAAAUUCAGCCACGUUAAACAACUCUAUAAGAAGCAAGAACUUAGUGAUAAUGAAAUUUUACCUUCGGUUGGGGCGACCGCGGAGGAAAAACAAGCCUCCGAGUGGACUGGGCCGAAUCCCUGAAGCCAAUAGAGACAUCUAUAAGCCGCAGAACAUCUGACCAAAAAUGAUCCGGCUAAAAGCCGAUCAACGAACCAAGUUACCCAAGGGAUAACAGCGCAAUCCCCUCCCAGAGCCCAUAUCUACGAGGGGGUUUACGACCUCGAUGUUGGAUCAGGACAUCCUAAUGGUGC
rnacentral:rRNA from 1 species